GUACUCCCUUUCGCGGUACAUAUACUAAAAUUGUAACGAUACAGAGAAGAUUAGCAUGGCCCAUGCGCAAGGAUGACAAGCAAAAUCGUGAAACAUUCCACGUUUUA